GUUCCAUGUGCUUUUUAAAAACUCAUUUUUCCCUUAGUAUUUCAAGAGUUUGCAACUCGUAAAUCGCAAGGAGGAGGGACAAAAAUUUAGAAAUCUAGGGCGCCUUAAAAGCCUAUUUUUGCCUUGGUGUUUUAUACUCUCACGGCUCGUAAACCGAGUAAAAAAAAUUGAAAUGUCCUCAAUUAUAAUCAAGGCUUCUUUCAAAGAUUUGUGAUGACUUAUUAUUUCUAGAAAAUUAUUUUGGAUAUUUACCACUUAGGGUUUCUUUAUCCAAAUAUUAACAGUGAAUAAUAACAAGUUAUUCCCUUUAAAUAUUUUGGAUAUUCAUCCCUUUGGGAUUUCUUUAUCCAAACAUUAAUGGUGAAUAAUAUAGAUGAAUUCCCCCCAAAAUAAAAAUUUUGUAUUUUUUGGAAUAUUGACCAAUACCUUUUGGAGUUUUACAAACAUGUUGUAAAAUCCAGAAAUGCAAGAAAAUAAUUUUUGUUGUGUUUAAGAAAUCCAUGCGAAAACGCUUGUUCGAAGCCUUGGUUUUUUUUAUAAAAAAAGAACGUUCAAAACAUGUUAGGGUAUUGGCCGUAUGCAACACACAAAAAUAUUUUUUUAUAUUUUCUUUAUCAAAAACACAAACAUCAUAGUAAAUCAUAAUUAAAAUCAACAAACCACAAAUUAAUCAAAUUCUUAAGGCUUUAAUAAAUCAAUUAUUAAUUCCCAAAAAAUAUAUAGAAACAUGUUCUUACAUUUUCAUAGGAAAUACAACAUGAUUUUAUUUGUCCCUAAAAUACUUGAUCAUAUGCAAAUUAAAACAUUAAAUUCAUUUUUUUUUGUCUUUUUGAUUUUUUAAUUCAAUAACAUUCAUAAAAAAAAAAUACAAACACACACACAUCCCUUUUUAUUAUGUUUUUUUCUCAUACACCCAUAUAUAAUUAUAAAUAACAAAAAUUUAAAAUAAAACAAACAACACAUCACACAAAUAAAAAAAUUACAAAAUAGCCCUAAAACAAUCUGGAAUUACAGGGAAGGCCUUCUGCACCACCGAAACAGUGGCAGCGCGUCUCCUCCACACGCCACCACCACUGGUGGCGCGUGGGUUCACGCGCCUCCGCAGGGAACGUCUGGUUUGGGUGGAUCUAGCCUGGCUUCUUCUCCUCUUCCCUUCCUCGCCGGCGGUGAAGAUCACUGUCACCUGCAACAAGAGUAAAACACACAAACAACAGUUGAUUUUAAGUUUUUGUUUCUUGUUCACGAUCUGUUUUCUUUCUCUUCUUCUCCGUUUUGGAUCUGCUUCUCUCUACAGAUCUGUUCUUUUCUUUUCCUUUCCCAUUGUUCUCUGUCUUAGGUGGCGGCAAGACCAAGGGGGCCGCCGGCUGCUAGGCUUUGGGUUUCCGUCCGGUCUGUGCAGCUGUUGGUGGCCAGUUCGUGUCUUGGCGAAGACGACGACCUACAGACUGCUCCCUUUUGGUUGGAGGGGAAUGAGCAGAUCGGGGUGAAUGGCCUAUGGGGCUGCUGUCCUUUGGCUGGUUCCAGGGCCGGUUGAAGGAGAUGAAGGAAAGAACGGGGUGGCCGGGUUUUCACAAGCUGCGCGAUGAUGGUGAAGGAGAAACGACUUAGUGAGAGAUGGGAAACGGUAGCUCUUGUUCUGUGAGCUGGAGGAUGACAGAUCGGUGAAGAUGAAGAAGGCUGGUUUGGGUGGUAUGUGGGGGAAGAUGGGGACGGCUGAGAGAGGGAAGAAAGGCCGGGAGAGUAGAGUGAUGGGGGCUCGGGUCGGCUGAGAGGAGACUAUUGAUCUAUGACCGGCUGAAGAGGGAAACCAAAAAUUCUCCAAGGCCAAAGCGGAGUUUUCUCUAGUUUGGCUAAAGGGAGGAGAGCUCGUGAUGGGAGAGUCAGCCAGAUGAAGGAGAAGGGGCUGGUCUCCGUGUAAAAAUAAAUCAAAGGCCAAGGGUGGGGGCGCGGCUUGGUUUUGGCCGACUACAAAAAAAUUAGGUUUAGGUUUUUUUCGUGGUUGCCCUAAAUUUCUCUCUUUAAAAAUUGUCCUAUGUCAAUUUUUCUUCCCCCCUGCAUAUGGCUGGAUGUUUAAGGAAAUAUUACAAUAAUUAUUGCAGAGAUUGUCUUCUAUAACCAGCACCAACAAAUCCUAUAUAUAUG
rnacentral:lncRNA from 1 species